UGGGGAAUAUUGGACAAUGGGCGAAAGCCUGAUCCAGCCAUGCCGCGUGAGUGAUGAAGGCCCUAGGGUUGUAAAGCUCUUUCAACGGUGAAGAUAAUGACGGUAACCGUAGAAGAAGCCCCGGCUAACUUCGUGCCAGCAGCCGCGGUAAUACGAAGGGGGCUAGCGUUGUUCGGAAUUACUGGGCGUAAAGCGCACGUAGGCGGAUCGGUCAGUUGGGGGUGAAAUCCCAGGGCUCAACCCUGGAACUGCCUCCAAUACUGCCGGUCUAGAGUUCGAGAGAGGUGAGUGGAAUUCCGAGUGUAGAGGUGAAAUUCGUAGAUAUUCGGAGGAACACCAGUGGCGAAGGCGGCUCACUGGCUCGACACUGACGCUGAGGUGCGAAAGCGUGGGGAGCAAACAGG
rnacentral:rRNA from 1 species